AUUGAACGCUGGCGGCAUGCUUUACACAUGCAAGUCGGACGAGUGGCGAACGGGUGAGUAACGCAUCGGAACGUACCGAGUAAGGGGGGAUAACUGUCCGAAAGGACAGCUAAUACCGCAUAUUAUCCGAGCGGCCGAUGUCUGAUUAGCUGGUGGGCGGGGUAAAGGCCCACCAAGGCGACUAUCAGUAGCGGGUCUGAGAGGAUGAUCCGCCACACUGGGACUGAGACACGGCCCAGACUCCUACGGGAGGCAGCAGUGGGGAAUUUUGGACAAUGGGCGCAAGCCUGAUCCAGCCAUGCCGCGUGUCUGAAGAAGGCCUUAGGGUUGUAAAGGACUUUUGUCAGGGAAGCGGUACCUGAAGAAUAAGCACCGGCUAACUACGUGCCAGCAGCCGCGGUAAUAC
rnacentral:rRNA from 1 species